rnacentral:lncRNA from 1 species
UUUUGUUUUCCCUAUCUUAAAACUUCACAGAAUGUUGUUCACUAUCCACACAUGGAUCUUUAAAAGCUUUACCUUGUGUGCUUUGAAGUGUACUCUAAAUAUUUAACACAAGAUUUUGGAAGGAAAUGUUUUCUUGGUAGCGAGACAUCUGCUUUUCUUCAUAUUGUAAGCAGAUGAUGAUGAAACAUGAGGGGAAGCUUGGUUUUAAAAUACACAGAAUUGCUGCAGAAGGGCUUACUUGUUCUUGUGAAAAUACACCCUUUUUUAAAAUUCACUGGCCAUUUAGGUUACACUGUUUUGUGUAGUUAUGUUAACCUGAAAUUGCUUCAGGUUCAGUUCAGUGCUAUAAGAUUCUGUGUAUAAACUGUAAAACAUAAGACUGAAAAUUUGUUGUUACGUGCAAGAGUAAAACAAGUUACAAAACUGAAAAAGAGAACUUGAAAAGAUGCUUAUCAGAAGCCAAAGAAAAUCACUGAAUAUUCCCAGACUUCUCUCCAUCAGUGCUACAAAUCCCAAUUAUAACUUCCUUCCUGAGCAAGAGCCUGUAACUAUGCUGUGUUAUACCUUCUACAAGCAAAAAGGAGCUUUAGACAGCACGGAAACCAGUACAGUGUUGGCAUAUUCAGGAGACAGUUACAAAAUUUGUACCAAUGCCGCUUCCUAUAUGGAAAAGAGAUCCUUCAAGAACUAA